rnacentral:rRNA from 1 species
AGAGUUUGAUCCUGGCUCAGAACGAACGCUGGCGGCGUGGCUAAGACAUGCAAGUCGAACGAAUUAUCCUAAAGAGUAAUCUAAGGGAUAAUUAGUGGCGAAAGGGUUAGUAAUGGAUAGGUAACGUACCCCGUGCUUCGGGAUAGCGUCGGUUGCUUCGGCAACCUACCGAAAGGGGCGAUAAUACCGGAUAAUGUCAUUUGUCGUAAGUCAAAUGAUCAAAGAUUUAUCGGCGUGGGAGCGGCCUAUCUCCUAUCAGCUUGUUGGUGGGGUAAUGGCCUACCAAGGCAACGACGGGUAGCGGGACUGAGAGGUUGACCCGCAACAUCGGGACUGAGACACUGCCCGGACCUCCACGGAGGGCUGCAGUAACGAAUAUUGGGCAAUGGGCGCAAGCCUGACCCAGCAACGCCGCGUGCGGGAUGAAGUCUUUCGGGAUGUAAACCGCUGUCAGGGGUAAGAAAGCCUUCGGGUUGAUCGAACCCUGAGGAAGUCACGGCUAACUUCGUGCCAGCAGCCGCGGUAAUACGAAGGUGGCAAGCGUUGUUCGGUAUCACUGGGCUUAAA